UUUUGUUGCACGUCUGAAAGAAACUUCAAAAGAAUUUGAUGUUUUUUUAGAUCAAGUGAUCGAUGAACAUAUGACUUUGGGAAAUAGUAAUGAUGAAAAACUAGUUGAUAAUCACAAAAAGAAUUUUUUGCAUAUACUGCUUCAACUUCAACAAAGUAACUCACUUGACUUUGAAUUCACACGGGAUAAUAUGAAAGCAAUUUUACUGGUUAUUCUCUAUACUUUCCUCUUAUUAUUAGUACAUUUUUUUUGUGGUUAUUUAUAAACUUUCAUCUUUUUUUCCAGGACAUGUUUGUUGCAGGGAUUGACACAACUUCGACAACACUUGAAUGGACGAUGGCGGAGUUAAUGAGAAACCAAAAUAUACUAAAAAAAGCCCAAGAUGAGGUACGAAGUGUGGUGGGGAAGAAAUCAAAGGUAGAAGGUAAUGACGUAAAUAUGAUGAACUACUUGAAAUGCACAAUUAAAGAGAGUUUAAGAUUGCAUCCUCCUGCUCCUCUCUUGGUUCCUCGAGAAACAUCUAAAGCUAUCAAUUUGGGUGGCUAUGAUAUUCCUCCCAAAACAAGUGUGAUUAUCAACGCAAUAAAAAUUCAAAAAGAUCCCAAUAUAUGGGAUAGGCCAGAAGAGUUCAUGCCAGAGAGGUUUGAAGAGAAUCUGGUGGAUUACAGAAUCCAAGACUUCCAAUUCAUUGCAUUUGGUGGAGGAAGAAGACAAUGUCCUGGAUUGAGAUUUGGGGUUACUUCAAUUGAAUAUAUAUUAGCAAGUCUUUUAUACUGGUUUGAUUGGAGAAUGCUAGAAGGUAAAAGGGGAGAGGAUUUGGACAUGACUGAAACUAAUGGGUUAACUGUUCAUAAGAAAAUUCCUCUUCACCUUGUAGCAAUACCCUACUCCCCUUGAUGUAUGUAACCUUGUGUUAAUUAUUCUGUAAACAUCACUUUUCUUCUUCCGUAUGUAAAAAAGGGAAUAAGUAAGUAAUCAAAAUUUGAGAGGUUUUGAAGUGUUUCUUUUGGCGUUAAACUUAUAUUUGUGAAGAUAUCUAUAAAAAGUAUAUAACUAAUGACCAUUUGUACUGACGAUUAUGAUGAUUAUUAUUAUUAUAUUACCGUUAUUGUUAUUAUUAUUUUAUUACUAUUAUUGUUAACAAUUAGUAAUAAAUGGAUUAAUUUUGUUUGUAAAAUACAAGCCAUUCUAUAUUAUUAUCAUUUGAAUCAAUAUUAAUUUUAUAUCUAAAUCAACUUUUUGCCCUUCACUAAAGCCAUACAUACAUAUCAUUUGAUUAAUUAAUGUUAUAUUUCUAACCAAAUCAACAUCAUCAUCAUUUUUUUGACUUAUUUGUUAAAACAAUGCAUUUCAAGCAAAAAAGAAAUACCUUUAAUAAUUAAUUUUGACUCUAAAAGGAACCUUAUCAUAUCCAAAAUUUCCAACUUCUAUUGUUAUUCUCAUUAUUUUGAUUAUUUACCUUGCGAGUAAAAUAUUUGCCCAUAUCCAAAACAAUUAAGUAUUUUAUUCCCAAAUCCCCAUGCUCAAUUUCUAAUAACUCUAGCAUCUAGAUAUAUGUAUGUGGAAGCCUAUAAAUACUGUGAGAAGCCACUUCAUGCAUCACCAACCACUAAGCAAAAGCAAUGGCAAUCACCUUCUUUGCUCCAUUGAUCUAUGUUCUUGUUUUGCAAUCUUCCUUCUUAAAAAUCAACUCAAGCCCAUACGGCUCGAAUGUGCCAAAAGGUGAUAAGAAUUUGUUAGAGUUACCAUUGAAUCUAGAGUAUUAAGAGGCUAAGUUUUUCUCGUAUGGCUCAUUAGGGUAUGGGUUGGAGAAGGUUGCUCCUAAGUUGAUCGUGGGAGUCCCUGCUCCUAUUGGUGCCAAGAAGGCCAAUCUUGAUCCCAUCACAAAAGAUAUUAUAGAGCAAUUUGCAUAACAGGAAGUUGGACACCUAAGGGGUUGUAUUCACAUCUCUUAGUCUUGCACUUCUUUUAAUUAUUUUGUGUUGAAUUCAUCUUGUUCGAGUUUUGUUCCAUUUUAUUAACUUCUUCGAUUAUUUUAAUAUGUAGGGCAAUUAAGUCGACUGUCAAAGAAUUUCUUAAGUGAAAAUUAGAUUUGAGUGUAAAGUCAUUUGCCAAGGUGAUUAAUAAUGCAUUUGGGAAGAACUUACAGCCUCCUUUUGACCCCUAUGCCAAUAACGUCAAUUACUUUAUUGCCUAUGUAAUUCCUUAUGUUGGACUUAUCCAGUAUGUGGGAGCAAGUCCUAGACUCGAAGGUGCUACCUCAAAAAGGGUAAGUCUCUAAUAUAGAACAAAGGAAGAAAGUAGUAACAUUCAUAAUUUAUAAAUAUUUUGGUCAAAUUAUUCUAUAAUUUUUUCUUUUCCUUGUAAAAUAAGUAUGUAUCCUAUAGAUAAUUAUUGGUUGCAUACAGCUUGUUGCUGGGCUUUUAGGCGUGGAGUAUGACCAAGAUGCUAUAAUAAAAGAGCUUUUAUACGAGAGGUCAAAUUUGAUAAUGAAGUCUUAUGGGAUAAUAGUUGCAGAGUUCACCAAUCGAAUCUCUAAUCUAAGGAACAAGCUUGGUAAAGCAGGGUUGAAAAAUGAAGGCUUUGUGGUUCCUAAAGACCUGGGUGCUGAGGGUAAAAUCAAGGAAAUUCGCUUGCUGCCGACAAAUAUUUAGUUGUCUAUGAUAAGACGUUUAAAGAAAUUCUUAAAAUUGUUUAUGGAAGGGGUAAUGAAGCCACACCUGGUGGUUCCUAUCUAAAGGGAGCUAACGGUGCCAUUGUUAAAUCUUAUUUAUACACUGCAAAUCACUAAAAAUGUAAAACCUGGUAGCUUUAUAUCAUCACCAUCCAUUAAAUAAUUAUCUUUUGUGCAUAAUGUUGUUUUCGGUUGUGAUAACACUAAAUUGAACCUAUAAUUGUGAUGUUUUGUCUCCUCUAUGUAUCUUGCCUUUUGGACUAUAAAUCCUUAUUCAACCAUAUAGCAAUAAAUAUUACCAAUUCUUUUCUUGUAUGAUGCUGACUGAACAGGUAUUUUUUAAUUAUAGACUCUUAUCACAGAGAGAUCGAUCUAUAGAUGUACAACUUGCUAUGUAAAUAGAUUGAAAUAAUCAAUAAACUUAAAAAUAUGCAUAAAUACAUAAGAAUAUCAGAUUUGCAACUCAAAUCACUCAAUCUGCCAUUAACAUUUUCUAAUUUCAUAUAUUAUCAGUAAAGAAAACCAUUCAAGAUUAUUAAAUCAAUUGAGAAUAUUAUGUUACUAAUUAGCUUUUCUAUAAAAAAUAAAAUUUUAUUGAACUAGUAGAAAGAACAUACAAACAAUUGAAAAUUGUGUAACACUCGAAAAUUUUCUUUUUUUGUAAUUUAAGAUUUUAUUUUAAAUGUAAUAAAAUAAUUUUUUGAAUUUUUAAUUUUUAUUUUAAUUUAGAAUAAAAAAUAAAAUAAAAUUAAUAGAGGAUUUAAUUAAAAAUAAUUUUUUUAAAAAGUAAAAAUUUAAAUUAUGAGAAUAUUUUUAAAAGAAAAAUAAAAAAAAAAGCUAAAACGCAAUUUUAGACCACCGUAUUUAUGCGAAUAAUAACAAAAUUUUCUCGCUGCCGAAGAAGUUGACUAACAUAGAGCGAGUAUAUUUCCACAACAAGCUUUUAGUUUCCUCGCUCCAAGCUGCUUAAAUCUUCUAGAUUAACUAUGCUAAAAUUAGAAAAAAUUUAAAAAAAAUUAAUUAACUUUCGAAUCAAAUCUAAAUUCGAAGAGUAGCCUUAGUUCAAUCCUUUAAGAAUUAAAAAAAAAAAUAGAAAGAUUCAUAGUAUUCGAACUUUUGAUCAAUCCUUUUAAAUCGUCGUAAAAUAAAUAUUAAUAAUUAGUGAGAGAUAAAUUAAAACGAUAAAUAAUUAAUGCUUACAGAUUUUGAGAAAACGAACAAGAUUCAUGAUUCUGCAGAAUCAGAUUACUUACCUUUGAAAAUAUUUUCAAGAAGUGAAAUUCACAGGAAUAUAAACUUUCCCGAGCUGCACCAAGCAAGCUCCAUCCACCCAUGAGUAUGCAUGCAGCAUGCUUGAGAUGGUUUGAAGAAUGGUUACUGUGUUUUGGUAAUAUAUACACUGUAGCACCCGGAAAGGAGGAGGAAAAAAAAAAAAGGGGGUCACGUCAGCAGGCCAGGUCAGCAGUCCCGGCCAACCGGGGCCUGCCACGUGGCAAGACCGCGUCACUUCGAAAGGAGCCACGUUGGCGAUCCGCGUGGGUGCGAUCCGACGGUCCAGAUCAAUCGCGCGAUCGGACGGCCCAGAUUCAAUCGCACGGACGGCCCAGAUUCAAUCAAAAAAACGAACGUCCCAGAUUAAAACGAAAUGGACGGCUGAGAUCAAAAGGCAAGGGGUUAUAAAUAGAACCCCCACACCAGACCACAAACCCUAGCCGCCCGCCGCUCGCCGGAGAAGACGAACCAGAGGCCGACCGCCGCCACCCGCCGCCGCACCGGGGAAAUUUUCGACCGCCGAUCGAGGUAAAUUUCAUAUCCCCGACUCGUUUUUUCACGCUGAUUCCUCCUAUGGCCAAAUCGAGGCCGAAAUCCCGGCCAAACGGCCGGAAUACGCGGCCCAAGCCCAGCGGCGCCGCCGCGCCCCCUCUCGAUUUUUGCCUCCGACGAGGCCCUUCCCGGCCUCCGUUCGAUGCAAUUUUUAUAUCACCGUGAUCACCAUUCUUUUCUCUACAGGUUGACCGGAGCCGAAUCACCAAAACAUGAACCUUGCCGGAGAGUCGCCGUACCCGAGAGCGCCGCCGCCGGUAAGCUCCGUUUUUCCGUAAUUUUUUGGCCCCCCGAGGGCCCUAGGGUUGUUUUCUCACAAGGACCGAUGCGAGUGUGGCCGAAUUCGGCCGAAAACGGCCGAAAACAGCCAACCCGAGGCGACUCGCGGCCGCCAGCGGCGGCGCCGUCGCCGGAGCACGGCGGAGCCGCCGUGCUGGAGUUGCGAUUUGGGCCGAAAGAGGCCCUGGGCCUAAUUUGGAUUUUUUUUGGAACACGUGCAGGUACUGUUAGUGUGUUUCAGUUCCCCGGGAAAAAUUCAGAGAAAAUUAGGGACGGCCUGCAGGCGCACUGUGAAUCGUAUUCGGAUCCCAAAAACAAGUAAGGACCCCUCACCCUAUUUCCUAUCACGGUAUUAAAGUUCAAAAUGAUAAAACGGUAUUUCUUGAAUUAACGAAUGUGUGAAAUUGUUUAAGGUGGCUAAUGGAGCCCGAGUCUAGUGUGAUUGGUGAUUUACUGUUAUUUGGCCUGUUUACAGCUUUAAAUGCAAAAUGAGGUUUGAUGUGUUCAUUUUACAGAUUUGUGUGCAUGCACUACGUUUUUAUUAAUUAUGGGUUGAAUGACUGAAAAACUGAUACUGUAUGUUGUCUGUUUGGUAUGAAUUACGAUUUGCUUGUUUGUAUAUGAAUUGAUGAUGCUGACUGAGGAAAAGGAAAAUGAAAGAUUGUGUAAACUGAUAAUUGUAUUAUGGGGGUCAGCCUGACUAGAUAUCCUGGGAGAUGGUGGACGGACCGGGUCCGUAGGGAACCCUACCGGGAUGUGGUCUCACAUGCCGGACGGGGUAUGGAGAUCUUAUGGUUUUGGCGCCCAUACCGGACGGGGUAUGGGGACGGCCCGUUUCACCCUCAUACCGGACGGGGUAUUGAGGUUUAUGAUUUUGGCGCCCAUACCGGACGGGGUAUGGGGACGGCCCGUUUCACCCUCAUACCGGACGGGGUAUUGAGGUUCAUGGUUUUGGCGCCCAUACCGGACGGGGUAUGGGGACGGCCCUGGAAACUGAUUAUGAAUGUUAAAGGUUAACGGGUAGCGGAACCCCUAUGGACCCCCACGGAUACUAGUAGGCUGGUAAAUGAGAAAAAGAUAUGUUGUACAAUGAUUGAAAUUUCAAGGGGCGUGAUAAGUGUUAUGUUUUACAGCUUAUAUUAUUCAAUGAUUAUGAUAAUGUUAUUGUUUUUCUUAUAUUGUUUUCAUAAAUUCCACCGAGGUAAGUGGAGGGUAAAGGUUUUAUCAUAAAUAAAAGGAUUUGUUGUAAAUUAUGCUCCAUUGGUCUUUUGUGUUUUUCUACCCACCUUUACCUCCGUGACGGUGAGAUAUCGUGAUGUUCUUACUGGGCUAGUGUAGCUCACUCCUUAUUUAACCAUUUCAGAUCAGGAAGACAUGGUUCCCGAGCCCGUUCCGCAGGAGGACGACGAAGGGGAUGCCUAGAGACUCUGUAGUCAUACUCAUAGUUUUAUUUUCGAGUUUCUCUCUUAGUUAGUUUAAUCUUUUAUAUUUUAAGUACGUUUUUGGUUUUUCGUGUAAGGGAUGUUAACUGAAAUUUUGAUCUCGCUUCCGCAUUUGAUAUAUUUAAAUACUCAUUUUAUUUUAAUAUUUACGGGGCCGUUACAUACACACAUGUACAUAUAUUUAUUACAGACAAUGUUACCGUUUCUUUUUCUUGAAUAUGAGACGAGGUAAGGAAAUGAUUAUAUAUGUGACAUGUUAUAUACCGUUAUGUAAGUAGUGAAAAUUUCAAGAACGAGUCCAAAUAUUUGACCGUAACGUACAUAUGUUACGUAUUGAAAGGUGCUUAUUAUUCAUCGUACUGGAGUUUAAUAAACCCCUUCUCCCCCAUGUUAACUACUUACCAUUCACCAACGAAAUCUAACAGAUAGACAAUUGAAAAACUUGUAGGAUCAGGUUUCAAUGGUGUAAACUCUUACAUAUGUUACAGAUAAUAUCAACAAGCAAUCAAUAUUUACUCAUAUAUAUAUAUAUGUUGAUAAUUAUCAAUGAUCUAUACAUACACCCUUAUCUUUUUGCUGAAAAAUGUCUUCAUCCCAUUGACCUUCUCCAUCGGAAAAACCAACUACAAAAGGAAAAAAAAAAAAAAUGAAUUACUAAUAUUGACUAAAACAUGCACUGGCUUUUUAAGGAGACUCCGGUCUUGUUUGGCGGCUGCUCUGUCUUUUCUCUCAGAUAUCUUCGUUUGCAAAUUUAGCAUUAUAUAUACAUAUAUAUAUAUGUACAUAUAAUAUACAAAUGUAUAUAUAUACUUGAAUGUUGUGAUAAUUAUAAGCAUCCCCAUUGUUAAGUUUCAAACUUUUAGAUUAAAGUAUAUUGUUUCAAGAACAUAAUUGUUGGAUCAAUUAUGGCAGCAGCUGCAUGGACAAGAAUUUCUCCAUCACUGUUGCCUCUCUUCGAUUUUAUUGUCUCUUGUAAUAUAUCUGUAAUAAAAGUGCGGAAUGAGUAGGUUGCAAGCUGCUGCUAAUCGGUCUGCGAAUAUAGUGUCUAGACGCAUUAUUACUUGUGGUAAAAUAGUCACCGUAACCCAACAGAUAAAGUACAUUCUAUAGUUUGUUUUAGGGAUUGAUGAGUUACGUAUUAAGUGAUUCUGGCAUUGGAUGUUCUCGCAAUAAAAUAGGUAUUGAAAUUCGGGUGAAUUCAAUAAUAGACGUCUGGUAAUAUUUCAAUAUUUUUUUUUUUCUUUUCAAGACCUAUCUGAAAGAGAAUCAAGUACUUAAUUGAUAUUUAAAUAAGGCGAACCGUCCUGUGAACAUCCUUGAUUCGAAACAAAACAAUUAAAAUUAGGUUUGAUUAACUGAAAUGUGUAUUAUCCAUAUAGAAAAUCUUCCAAUUAAAAAUAUCCAUCGACUAAAAGUUGACGAAAGAAUUGAACGAGUUUAAUUUUAGUGAUAACUUCAAUCAUUUCUUAUUAAUAUUCUUAUAGAUAAUAAGAGAGCGGAUAAUAGUCGAGAUGAACAAUCAUUUCAUAAGCAAAACUUCUGUCAUAUGGAUUUUUUAAAUAAAUUUUCAGAAUCUGAAAUCUUAGAAAUCUACUCUUCAUGAAUUUAACAUCAAGACAAAAUUUGGAAGUACAGAAAAUCAAAAUAUGAAACAGAAAUUAAUAUUUCAACCAAGAGGUACUUAAUUUGGUAAUUAAAAAAUAUAUAUUUUUAAUGAUAUACUUAGUUUCUCUACUAAAUGUGUAUAUAUACUAAUAAAAUUCUAUCUGUAUAUUUGUAUAAUUUUUUUUUUAAAAAAAUAAUUUAUAAUUUUUUCGAAGAUUCAACUCGAGUUUUCAAACGACUUUUGAAGAUGUGAUGAUUUUUUGGUGUUACGUAUUUCUUUAUUAAUUAUGAAGCUCGAAUUAUAUAUUUUAGGUUAUAAGCUGAAUGUUUUUGUACAUAUACGAGAUAUUCUCGGCUCCUAUUAAUAAAUAUAUGUAUUUAAUAUCUUGAGUAGUGAAAUCAAUUUAAGAAUAUUCCGAAUCAUCUUAUAAAAAUUUGUAUAUUUUAGUUACAUUUCUAAUUUCAUUUUAUAACAAUUUAAAUAAAUAAAAGAAUUAUAUUUAUAGUUUAUUUAAUAAAAUAAAUAUGAUAUUAAAGAUACACAAUAUUAUCUUUUCAGUGAAUACGAGAAAUUUGAAUAUUUCGAUCAUAACUAAAAAAAAAAAUCAUAAUUUGGGUCUUCAUAUACGAGUAAUAACACAAUUUUUUCGUUGCUGGAGGAGUUGACGAACGGGAGAGUGAGUCUAUUUCCACAACAAGCUUUUAAUUUUCUUACUCGAAACGAGCUUACAAGUAUUCACUAAAUUUUUAUCACAGGUCUUCGUAUAUCGAUUUUCAGUUUUUUUCGCUGACAUAAAAAAAAUGCAGACCUAUUGUUUACUGUAAUUGUGAUUACUGCAGUCAUAAUCUCUUUAACUCGGUAAAAAAAAUUGCUUCUAGUAUCAUACUUACCUCGUUAGUAUUUCUAAGUAGAUUUCGUCCAAUCCUUUCAUAAUUAUAAAAAAAUAAAAAGAUUCACUACGCACGCACCCCUCGAUUGAUCUUUUUAGAUCAUCGUCAAACAAAUAUUAAUGUUUAACGAAAAACAAAUUAGAAAAAUGAUUAAUACUCACAAUUUUUGAAAAAGAGGUCAACAUUCAUGAUUAUAUAAAAAAAAUCUACUACAUAACAUUGAGAAUUUUUGAAAAAAAAAAAAGAAAUUCAUAGGAAAUAGAGGUUGCUCGGUGCAUUCAGGAAUUAAUUUCUUGAUCAACUGGGUACCAAGAAAUGCUCCUAAGCUGCACCAAACAAGAUCCAUCCACCCGUGAGUAUCUUUGAGGGGGUAUGCUGAGGAGACUUGGAAGCUUUGUCUGCGUAAGCUAUACAACAGCUCUCGUGAUGGUUUUCGUUCACAGAUUCGUGCUGUGUGUAUAGUCUUUUCACAUAAUUCAUGAGAUAAGUUUUUAUAUGCAUUAUAAUGUACAUGGUGGAGUGUUAAUCAAUGACUUCAUCCCCAAAUGUGGGUUUCACAUCUUCUAUUGAAUCAGAAGUUCCAAGCCAACACAAACGAGUUGGACUUAGGCCGAGGGGUUAAGUCUUUCCGGUAACAUGUUGAUGGACAUAAUCUCGCUAUUCUUUAUCUCUUGGACUCCACCAAUACCAGCUACAUUCAAGUUUAAUCACGAUGUCUCCUUUGGACAUGUUGAAUGGGCAAGACUUGGGGGUAGUUUGUAAAAUUAUCUGGAGUAAUAUAGUGUUUGCAAGAACGAAGCGCUUACCAUUUUCAAAAUCAGUAGAUGUUGCUGAAUGAGGCAUUACAUUACGACCUUCAAUUACUUUAUCGGUUAGACAUUUAUAAUAUAAUGGUUGAGAGAGAUUCUCAACUAAUGGUCAUUCUGAAACUCAUAAAGGUUGUAAUUUGAUGGCUUCUGCAACACCGAACAAAAUUCUUUCCAACCCGAAUGGGUAUUUCGUGGCUUUAAAACCUUCUAAUUUAUAAGUCUAUCUUUCGUAGAAAGUUUGAUUUUUAUGUUAUCUGAUUGAAUGAUUCUUUCUACUUUUUUUGCUCAAUAAAAAAAUUUAAUUAUAUAUAAAUAUAUUGAAGUAUGCAUGCAUUUUAUUUUAAUUUUUUGAAAUUUUGCAUACUAUUUUGUUUGAAUUUUUUUUUGUAGCAUUUAAUUUUCAUUAUUUUAUAUUAAAAUUGAUAAUUUUUUUUGUAAGUAUAAUACUUAUUAUACGUAUCAAUUAUAUUAAUUUCUUUAACAAUCUCGGCAGCCAUUCCUCUGCUAGUAAAUUCCUUCAUUCACAAAUUUUGUCAAACUUAAUUUGUAUAAUUAAAUUAAUACAAUAUGAUUUUGAUGCAUAAUUAAAAUUUUUAAUUAUAUAUUAAAAUUCUACUUUUCAGUGCAAUUAUUGGUAUAUGUGUGUGUGUGUGUGUGUAUAUACAUAUAUAUAUAUAUAUAUAUAUAUAGAUAUAAGGUAUGUAUAAUUAAAUCAGGAGCAAAAUAUAAAGAGUGAGAUUGGAAAACUGAGAGUGAAUGUUUUCAGAAUUAAUUAUACGUAACAUAUAACUUUAGUUGUAUAAAUAAUGAUUAUCUUAAAUUGAUUAUCCUAAAGUUAGAUGCACUAAUCCAUAUAUGUCUGCCACUUCGGCUAUACUACAAAAAUAUUGAUUUCCCUGUCUUGUUAAAUGAUCAAUCUUUUGCAGCCUUUUUAUGUCUUUUGUCCUCCAAAUUCAGCACAGUAUGUAUACACACACAAACUUGAAUAUUGUGUUAACUAUAAGCAUCUCCCUUUUUAAGUUUCAAUAUAGAGAAUAUGAGUUCGAGAACACCAUUCUUGGAUCAAUUAUGGCGACAACUGCACAGAGCAGAAGUUUGCUUCUCUUUGAUUUUCUUGUCUCUUGCAAUAUAUCUGUUUAAACUCAUGAGUUCUAGACGUACCAAUCUCAACUUACCUCCAUCUCCACCUAGAUUUCCUAUCAUCGGCAACGUUUUCCAGAUGGGGUCCCAUAAUGCUCCUCUACUCUGGCUCUACACCAACUCUUAUUGUAUCAUCAGCAGACAUGGACCGUGAAAUGCUUACGACCCACGAUAUCGUUUUCUCGAAUCGACCCAGAACUUUAGCUGCAAAUAUUUUGUUUUAUGGAUGUACGGACUUAGGUUUUUCUCCCUAUGGUGACUACUGGAGGCAAGUUAGGAAAAUAUGUGUUGUGGAGAUGUUGAGCCUCAACCGUGUGAAUUCUUUUCAGUUGGUGCAGGAUGAAGAGGUUGUAGAAACAAUUGAAAGCAUACGACGUACUUGUCUCUAUGGAACCUUGGUAAAUCUGAGCGAGUUGCUGAGUAUUUUAUCUACUAACAUAGCGUUUAGAUGUGUUAUUGGAAGGAAAGUUAACAAGGUUGGAGAGAAUAUCAAGUUAGGAAAGUUGGUGAAUAAGUUGACCAAGGAAAUUAAUGAGUUUAAUUUCAGUGAUACAUUUUCUUAUUUUUAUUUGGGAUAUUUGAUAGAUGUUUUAACUGGUUUUACUGCACGUCUGAAAGAAACUUCAAGAGAAUUUGAUGCUUUUCUGGAUCAAGUGAUUGAUGAACAUAAGACCUUUGGAAAUAGUAAUGAUGAAGAAGAUAAUCAGAAAAAUAAUUUUGUGCAUAUCCUUCUUCAACUUCGAACAGAGUAACUCACUUGAAUUCGAAUUCACACGGGAGAAAAUAAAAGCAAUACUAUUGGUUGUUCUUUAUACUUUCC
rnacentral:lncRNA from 1 species